UCGACCUCAAAUCAGGUAGGACUACCCGCUGAACUUAAGCAUAUCAAUAAGCGGAGGAAAAGAAACUAACAAGGAUUCCCCUAGUAACUGCGAGUGAAGAGGGAAGAGCUCAAAUUUAAAAUCUGUCAGUUUUUAGCUGACCGAGUUGUAAAUUAGAGAAGUGCUAUCAGCGCUGGCCUGUGCAAAAGUCUCUUGGAAAAGAGCAUCAUAGAGGGUGACAAUCCCGUCUUUGGUACAGAGCUCCAGGGCUACAUGAUGUGCUCUCAACGAGUCGAGUUGUUUGGGAAUGCAGCUCUAAAUGGGUGGUAAAUUCCAUCUAAAGCUAAAUAUUGGCGAGAAACCGAUAGCGCACAAGUACCGUGAGGGAAAGAUGAAAAGAACUUUGAAAAGAGAGUUAAACAGUACGUGAAAUUGUUGAAAGGGAAACGCUUGAAGUCAGUCGUGUCCUUCAGAAAUCAACCUGACUUUGGUCUGGCUUAUUUUCUGUUGGAUGGGUCAGCAUCAAUUUUGAUCAUUGGAUAAAGACCUUGGGAAAGUGGCAUCUCCG
rnacentral:rRNA from 1 species